CUUACCUAGGAUUUUGGGGACGGUGUGUGGGAUUGUGUGUCUGAGAUUGCUCGUGGGAUUAAUCAGGAUCUUGGUGAUUCUCGUGUGCAUGUUGCUGCAGAUCAGCCUUGUGGUGGGUCUGACACUGUGCCGGAAGUUAAUAAUGUCAUUGUUGC